CGAGCUCACCAUGGACAUCACCAACCGCAUCUACAACAGCUCUCUACUCAAGUCCAACUCUUCUGAUUAUGCGAUCUUGUACAAACAAGUUACUGACAUGCUCAACUCCAUCUACGGCUGUGCCACGUGUAAAACACACGUGUUUUAUGUCAAUGUGUCAGCGAUGACCUUCAGCAAUCAAACUGGAACCGUGCUCGUAAAGGCUAGUCUCGUGUUCCAGUCAAACAAAACCAACGCUGAUGAGAUCAAAGGGCUGUUUAUGAACGCGACCGCUGCCGAUAAGGAAAUAAACGGCCUUAAAGUCAACCCUAAUUUCACACAAGGUAAGCAUUAAGCUUCAUUAUGUCCUGAGUAUUAAUAUAUUUAUAAAAAAGUAUUAUUAUUUUCUCGUGUUCCAGUCAAACAAAACCAACGCUGAUGAGAUCAAAGGGCUCUUUAUGAACGCGACCGCUGGCGAUAAGGAAAUAAACGGCCUUAAAGUCAACCCUAAUUUCACACAAGUUUCAGUGAAAUCUGAGGAGGCUCCGAAUGCUUUAGUGACUUACGAGCUCACCAUGGACAUCACCAACCGCAUCUACAACAGCUCUCUACUCAAGUCCAACUCUUCUGAUUAUGCGAUCUUGUACAAACAAGUUACUGACAUGCUCAACUCCAUCUACGGCUGUGCCACGUGUAAAACACACGUGUUUUAUGUCAAUGUGUCAGCGAUGACCUUCAGCAAUCAAACUGGAACCGUGCUCGUAAAGGCUAGUCUCGUGUUCCAGUCAAACAAAACCAACGCUGAUGAGAUCAAAG
ensembl:lncRNA